rnacentral:lncRNA from 1 species
CUUUAUUAGGAAGUAAACUGGUCCAGCUCGGGAAAGUGAAGGAAGGAGGCUCCAGGACAUCAGAGACUGGGGUCAGCUCUCCUCUCUUCUUCAGCUCCAGGCAUGACUCUCAGCAUUACAUCCUUUCAGCUCUGCUUCCCCAGAGUUGAAACAAAUUCUCUCUCCAGCUUCCCCUGAAAAAAUCCGAGGGAAGGGCUCUGAUUGGCCCAGCACAGGUGGCAGGCCCUGAACUAGGUACUUGAUGCUCAUCGUCUUUUUGCAUCCUCACGAUAACUAUAAAAGAAGCAGUGGGAAAAGGAGAAAGUAUUUACCAAACCUCAUGGGUGACAUUCAUGGCUCUUUCCUGCAAGCUCUACCCUCUGCUUUGUAUGAGAGAAAUCUCCCCUCAGUCAUCGUGGUGGACCAGUCAGGUUCCUGCCAGGGUGACUGUUCAGUUAUUUCCUGCUGGAGCACCAAGCCGGGACCACAUGGCUCUGGGAUCAUUGUGGUGAUCUUUACCUAGAGGAGAUCCCAUAGUGAUAGAAACGGCCCAGGCCACACUGUUGAACCCCUGGAUCCAGCCAGAUCUGAAGGCAGCUAUCCCUGGACUUUCUAUUUCUGUGUGACAAUGAAUUCUUUUGUUUGAAUAAGCAAGUCUGAGUUGCAUUUCUGUCAUUUGUAACCAAGAGUCUUGAACAGUAC